rnacentral:rRNA from 1 species
AUUGAACGCUGGCGGCAGGCCUAACACAUGCAAGUCGGACGAGUGGCGGACGGGUGAGUAAUGUAUGGGAAACUGCCUGAUGGAGGGGGAUAACUACUGGAAACGGUAGCUAAUACCGCAUACCAUCAGAUGUGCCCAGAUGGGAUUAGCUUGUUGGUGAGGUAACGGCUCACCAAGGCGACGAUCCCUAGCUGGUCUGAGAGGAUGACCAGCCACACUGGGACUGAGACACGGCCCAGACUCCUACGGGAGGCAGCAGUGGGGAAUAUUGGACAAUGGGCGAAAGCCUGAUGCAGCCAUGCCGCGUGUGUGAAGAAGGUCUUCGGGUUGUAAAGCACUUGAAGUUGGGAGGCGUUACCAGCAGAAGAAGCACCGGCUAACUCCGUGCCAGCAGCCGCGGUAAUAC